AGUCACUGACAUUAGAUACCCCCGUAGUCCAGGGUGUAAACGCUGCAGACUUGGUGUUGGGAACCCUUCGGGGGUGCUCAGUGCCGGAGAGAAGUUGUUAAGUCUGCUACUUGGGGAGUACGUCCGCAAGGAUGAAACUUAAAGGAAUUGCGGGGAGCACCACAACGGGUGGAGCCUGCGGUUUAAUUGGACUCAACGCCGGAAAUCUCACCGGAUAGGACAGACAUAUGAUAGUCGGGCUGAAGACUCUACUUGAUGAUCUG
rnacentral:rRNA from 1 species